rnacentral:rRNA from 1 species
AGUGAACGCUGGCGGUAGGCCUAACACAUGCAAGUCGAACGGCAGCACAGUAAGAGCUUGCUCUUACGGGUGGCGAGUGGCGGACGGGUGAGGAAUACAUCGGAAUCUACUUUUUCGCGGGGGAUAACGUAGGGAAACUUACGCUAAUACCGCAUACGACCUACGGGUGAAAGCAGGGGAUCUUCGGACCUUGCGCGAUUGAAUGAGCCGAUGUCGGAUUAGCUAGUUGGCGGGGUAAAGGCCCACCAAGGCGACGAUCCGUAGCUGGUCUGGGAGGAUGAUCAGCCACACUGGAACUGAGACACGGUCCAGACUCCUACGGGAGGCAGCAGUGGGGAAUAUUGGACAAUGGGCGCAAGCCUGAUCCAGCCAUACCGCGUGGGUGAAGAAGGCCUUCGGGUUGUAAAGCCCUUUUGUUGGGAAAGAAAAGCAGCAGGUUAAUACCCCGCUGUUCUGACGGUACCCAAAGAAUAAGCACCGGCUAACUUCGUG